rnacentral:SRP_RNA from 1 species
GCUGGGCGUGGUGGCGGGCACCUGUAAUCCCAGCUACUUGGGAGGCUGAGGCAGGAGAAUUGCUUGAACCCAGGAGGCAGAGGUUGCAGUGAGCCUAGAUCGUGCCACUGCACUCCAGCCUGGGUGACAGAGCAAGACUCUGUCUCGG